UACGUAGGGAGCAAGCGUUGUCCGGAAUCACUGGGCGUAAAGCGCACGUAGGCGGAUCUUUAAGUCAGGGGUGAAAUCCCGAGGCUCAACCUCGGAACUGCCUUUGAUACUGGGGAUCUCGAGUCCGGGAGAGGUGAGUGGAACUGCGAGUGUAGAGGUGAAAUUCGUAGAUAUUCGCAAGAACACCAGUGGCGAAGGCGGCUCACUGGCCCGGAACUGACGCUGAGGUGCGAAAGCGUGGGGAGCAAACAGG
rnacentral:rRNA from 1 species